AUCCCUCCAGGAACAGAGCCAGGUGUUCGGACAGUGGAGAUCACACGGGGUCCCACCGAUGCUUUGGGUGUCAGUAUAGCGGGCGGUAAGGGUAGUCCUCUGGGCGACAUCCCCAUCUUCAUCGCCAUGAUCCAGGCUAACGGUGUGGCUGCCAGGACACAUCGCCUCAAAGUAGGUGACAGGAUUGUGAGCAUCAACUCUCAG